GACGGGGCCCGCACAAGCGGUGGAGUAUGUGGUUUAAUCGAUGCAACGCGAAGAACCUUACCUGGUCUUGACAUCCCGGAGACCCUUAGGAAACUAGGGGUGCUUCCAUCUGGAAGAAUCUGGAGACAGGUGCUGCAUGGCUGUCGUCAGCUCGUGUCGUGAGAUGUUGGGUUAAGUCCCGCAACGAGCGCAACCCUUGCCUUUAGUUGCCAGCAGUUCGGCUGGGCACUCUAAAGGGACUGCCGGUGUUAAACCGGAGGAAGGUGGGGAUGACGUCAAGUCCUCAUGGCCUUUAUGACCAGGGCUACACACGUACUACAAUGGCCGAUACAAAGGGCAGCGACACUGCGAGGUGAAGCCAAUCCCGUAAAAUCGGUCUCAGUCCGGAUUGGAGUCUGCAACUCGACUCCAUGAAGUUGGAAUCGCUAGUAAUCGUGGAUCAGCAUGCCACGGUGAAUACGUUCCCGGGCCUU
rnacentral:rRNA from 1 species